rnacentral:rRNA from 1 species
CCUGGUAGUCCACGCUGUAAACGAUGUCGAUUUGGAGUUUGGGGGCAUGACCCUUGGGCUCCGGAGCUAACGCGUUAAAUCGACCGCCUGGGGAGUACGGCCGCAAGGUUAAAACUCAAAUGAAUUGACGGGGGCCCGCACAAGCGGUGGAGCAUGUGGUUUAAUUCGAUGCAACGCGAAGAACCUUACCUGGUCUUGACAUCCAUAGAAUCUUUCAGAGAUGAGAGAGUGCCUUCGGGAGCUAUGAGACAGGUGCUGCAUGGCUGUCGUCAGCUCGUGUUGUGAAAUGUUGGGUUAAGUCCCGCAACGAGCGCAACCCCUAUCCUUUGUUGCCAGCACGUAAUGGUGGGAACUCAAAGGAGACUGCCGUUGAUAAAGCGGAGGAAGGUGGGGACGACGUCAAGUCAUCAUGGCCCUUACGACCAGGGCUACACACGUGCUACAAUGGCGUAUACAAAGGGAUGCGAAGGUGCGAACUGGAGCGGACCUCACAAAGUACGUCUAAGUCCGGAUUGGAGUCUGCAACUCGACUCCAUGAAGUCGGAAUCGCUAGUAAUCGUGAAUCAGAAUGUCACGGUGAAUACGUUCCCGGGCCUUGUACACACCGCCCGUCACACCAUGGGAGUGGGUUGCACCAGAAGUAGAUAGCUUAACCUUCGGGAGGGCGUUUACCACGGUGUGGUUCAUGACUGGGGUGAAGUCGUAACAAGGUAACCA